rnacentral:lncRNA from 1 species
AUACCCGGAUGGAAGUGUAAUGGCCGCCAUCAGGGACUCGCAGGCAAUGGAGAUGCCCUGCUCCCUGACGCGCUCGCUCUUCUCCAGAGUUGGCCAAAGGUGCUCUUCCCCGCAGACCCUAACCACACCCAGUGGCAGUUGGAUUUCUUUGUAACUGGCUUUCUCACAUGUAGGGUUCAUUUUGACUCUAUUCGUUACAUGGUGUCCUCUUUGUCAAGUAGACAGUCUCUUCCUAGGUGGCUGUGGUAAUUGAAAAGUACAUAGAGCGAAAUGUAUAUAAGGAAAAAUGUUUUAACUCUUAAGUGGACCGAUCAAACAGAUGUAGCUUUAAAGUUCAGAAUACAACAGUUAAGACUCAGUUUUCUUUUUAGGUUUAAAUUUGAGAGCAAGUAGUGUAUGUGAGCUGUUUUAGUGCAAACAUUGUUGAGUAUGUUGUCAAACGUCUAAAAAACCCUAGAAAAAUAAAAUAAGUCAAUGUUCAAGGAAUUCAUAAGAAUGUUGGAAUUUGUACAGUUGUCGCAGUGAUAAAACAUGAAGACACCAAACUGUCAGGAUAGGAAUUCUAUUAACUUGAAAGUGUGCAUGUUAGAUCUAGUUACUGGUAAUUGUUGAAUUGCUUUUUCUGCAGCAAGGGGUCUGAUUUGAGUGUACUCUAAGGUUGAUAUCCUCAGGUUUAAUUUAAAACAUUUAAAUUGAUUCAGUGAAAUUUCCUAACAUUUUUUGAGUUUAACUGCAAAUUUAUAGAAAUGCAUUCACUAUCUUUCAGCAAAAUUGUCUUUUCUGAAAUUUAUAAAGAGACAUUGCGUUCUGUUAACACUUUGAGGGUGUUGGGAUUUCCUGGGGAAGGUAAGCAUAGUAAACGAUGUUGAUUUUUGCCAUAGAAACUGUAAAUUAGAUCAUCCCUAGAUACAGAAAAUUGCCAACAAAAGGGGAGAAUAAAAUGUAGGUAUGUUACACAACCAAAUGUUUCCUGUUUGUUGCGUGAAAAUAAGUAUAAUUACCAAAUAAAACGUUUUAUAUCUGGUUUUAUGGAAGGACAAAAGACAGUAACCACAAUGAACACCCACUGUGUGCAUUGAUAAUGUAUGAACUUUUAAAUGCUUCAAUUUUUUGCCAUGGUCACACUUCGGAUUCUGUUCUAGUCUCUCUGGUAAUAGUAUGCUGUAAUCCCAGAAGUUUCUAUAUUUUGAAAUAUUACAGAGGGACUAUACUUUAGCCUAGAUCUAUAAUUUGACUUCAGGAUAUGCUUUAAAUGCCCUUUAAGUGUAUUUUUGUUGUUUACUUUUCUGUUUAUAGUUGUUUAGAAUUGUUCUCAUUGAGGCAUUGUGACAUUGCAUACUUUAGAGCACUUAAUACUACUUUUUUUUUUUUUCUUUAAAUGAUAGGAGACUUGAAUCUUGCCCACAUUCCUUCAGGUAUGCUACUGAAGGUUUUGUGGCAAAGUGCUAUUAGCAGAACAAAAAGGUUUUAACACCGUCUUGAAAUUUUUAUUUAUUAUCUGGUCCCAGGUGUGUAGGCUGUGAGUAUUUCAGUUCUAUAUGGGGUAUUGGCUUCUCAUGGUGAGCAGUUUUCAUGGCAUAUUAGAUACCAGAAAUGAGUAUUAAGGGUUAGUAUUGUGGUGGUAGGAUAACUGAAUUGGAACCGGAUCCAGAUAUUAUUUCUAGUUUUGUGACUUUGGGC